GGUUGGUGGUGACCUUCAAAGUAAGAGCACUCUUUUUCUCAAGGUGGUCUUCUGUGUAUGCCUCUCUUCUGGUUCUGUUUCUACCUAUGGACAUACUGAGCUGAAUGAAGGCUAUGAGUCCCAGUCUACUUGAAAAUUAUCCAUAUGUAACUCUGCCAGAUGACAGGUAAGCAGAAAUGCUUUAUAUAAGCAUCUAGAACACUGCAUAAGUUUGUACACACCCAUUGCCCCUUCUUGUUGUAUUUCAAAAUAGUUUUGAAGUUAUGAAACAAAAAUUGUGAGGUAGUAAUAAAAAGACUUCCCAUAUAU
rnacentral:lncRNA from 1 species